CUAAGGAUGGUUCUUCAGAAGCUUGCUUCUAUCGAACCGUUUUAGAAACAUCAGUGGCCAACGGUCGUCAGGAUCGUUGAGCUGCAUUGGCGGGAUUUCGCCGUCUUCGUUUCUCUUUCUUCGCGGACGAACACGCGCUGGGGCUGCAACCUUGCAGAAUCCCUGGUCCUUGACUGGAUAUGCGUUAGGGGCUUGUAGCUCAGUUGGUUAGAGCGCGCGCUUGAUAAGCGUGAGGUCGGAAGUUCAAGUCUUCCCAGGCCCACCACACUCAUCGAGUGAGCAUUCGUCUUCUGGUUACGGGGCCAUAGCUCAGCUGGGAGAGCGCGUGCUUUGCAAGCAUGAGGUCGUCGGUUCGAUCCCGUCUGGCUCCACCAGAUGGUUUGAUCACCGACUACUCAUACCGUCGUCCGCGAAACAUCACUUCGCACUUACUAGUCCGGAUGGACAGUAAGCUGCGUGAUUUCUGACAUCGUAAAGAGGAGAUCGAUCCGAGUUGGAUCGGGCAACAAGUAAUUGUUGCGCGAUACUUCAUUAUCUCCGGAUCAUUUCGGCGCUCGUGCGUCUUCCAGGGUAGCUCACAAGGCUGCGUCUGAAGGACACGCGAGUUGUAAAUGAUCCUUUUAGCGAAGCUUGACCGCCUCGCUAUCGGAACGAUCUUACGAAGCAAGCUGGUCUUUCUAAUCAUGGUCCGGCUGCAGAUAGCGUUCAUCGAGGGCGCGUGCCUUAGAGACUUAGGUUUCUUGGCAAUUCUGCAGACAACAUUCUGCCGAGUGUGUGGACAUUGAUAAUGAGAGC
rnacentral:tRNA from 1 species